rnacentral:lncRNA from 1 species
GUGCAGAGAUCUCUUAUGGUUGGUUAAUAUUUAUCGCUUCUCAUUGGCAGGGGCGGGGAGGAAUGAAGCAAACGUGCAAGCUCUGAGCUGCAGACAAAAAUGUGCACGCAGUCCAUGUUUGUACGGUUACAUGCUGGCAUAUGCAAGUUUGGAGCAGUGCUUUCAAGUCUUUCAGACGAAAUCUCAAUGUGGAAGGCAGCAAUGGGAUACGCAGACUUUGACUCCAUGAUGUAGCUGUUGCUGAAGGCUUGGCCCAUGAAUGUGAAUGGGAAUAUGAUCAAAUGCAGCUUGCUAUUGCAGGAGUAACACGACUUCUCUGUAAACUGGCCUCUCAACUGUACAGGAUUUGCACUGAAGGCACCCAGUCUACCGUGUUUGUGGCACAAAACUGUCAUAAAAGUCCAUCACCCUUAAAAAUAUUAGAAAUCCAAGGGAAGCACUUCUGGUAGCAGAUCACACAUUCAGAAGAUAA